rfam:Camelus ferus unplaced genomic scaffold scaffold1089, whole genome shotgun sequence.
GAGGGUAUGGCUUAGUGGUAGGGCACGUGCUUAGCAUGCAUGAGGUCCUGGGUUCGAUCCCCAGCACCUCCA